GAUGAACGCUGGCGGCGUGCCUAAUACAUGCAAGUCGAGCGAACGGACGAGAAGCUUGCUUCUCUGAUGUUAGCGGCGGACGGGUGAGUAACACGUGGAUAACCUACCUAUAAGACUGGGAUAACUUCGGGAAACCGGAGCUAGUACCGGAUGAUAUUUUGAACCGCAUGGUUCAAAAGUGAAAGACGGUCUUGCUGUCACUUAUAGAUGGAUCCGCGCUGCAUUAGCUAGUUGGUAAGGUAACGGCUUACCAAGGCAACGAUGCAUAGCCGACCUGAGAGGGUGAUCGGCCACACUGGAACUGAGACACGGUCCAGACUCCUAUGGGAGGCAGCAGUAGGGAAUCUUCCGCAAUGGGCGAAAGCCUGACGGAGCAACGCCGCGUGAGUGAUGAAGGUCUUCGGAUCGUAAAACUCUGUUAUUAGGGAAGAACAUAUGUGUAAGUAACUGUGCACAUCUUGACGGUACCUAAUCAGAAAGCCACGGCUAACUACGUG
rnacentral:rRNA from 1 species